GCCAUGAUAGCUCUCCUGGAUCUCAGAGUGGUGCUCACACACAAACACCCAUUUUUGAUGAGCAAGCUGUGAAUCAGCAGCAUUUGCUGGGAGAAUCCCUCGCUGCUCCCUCGCAGCUGCAGCCUCUCCCUCUCCUCUCCAUGGAGCCUGCAAGGACACGUUUGCUGCCACAUCCAGAAUGAUUUCUGGGCUGGUGAAAGGACAGGAGGAGCAACUCACAGUGACAGUUUGGGUGCUGGCAGCAGGACUGCGUGGCAAGGAGCACCAGCUGAGAAGAAAUUUGGGAGGUUUUGAUGCUGUGAGGAUUAAUGAGUGAAAUUAGCACCAGCCUCAUUCUCUGUGUCACAGCACAGCUCAGAACCACCAGGCAACAGGACCCAAACACCUCCAAGCUCUGCUGCCUUAUCCCCAGAAGAUUGCCCAUGUCCCAGCACAGAGUCCCCAGCACAGCCUGCAGCAGGCUCAGAGUGGGAGCUCCACCUCUGACUGAUGCACCUGGAGAUGCCACAGCCAGUGGAGAGCUGCAGGAUUCCCAGAGAGAGCACGAGAUUCCUCUCACUAAUAUUCCAGUCUUUGCCAGGAGGAUGGGAUGAAAGCUGAGGACUCCAUGACAAGCUUGGUCUACAUGCUCCAGCUAAAGAGAUGGAGACAGAAAUGGUUCACCUUGACCUGUAGAUAAAGUCAGAAUUCCCACUGUACUUAAAUCCAUGACUUCACAGCCAAAAGCCUCCCUGUCAAGCUAUCCACUGAUUCAGAAAUGAGCCACAGCAGUUUGAAUUUAGCUCUUCCCAUUUUGCAAGUGCCUUGAAACAACAGCACCUCAGACAUAUCCCACCUUUUAACAGGCUCACCAUCCCAGAGCUCCAGAUCCACGUUUUUCUUGGGAUAUGGUUUGGUUCUUUUCCUCCUGCCAGGGAAUUCCCAACCAGCAGCUGGUUCUGCACCAGUUCCUUACAUCCAUCAACUGCCUAAUUAAUCAAUGGACUUACCUCUUUCUGCUGCCACAAUAGAAUUAACCAAGUAUAAACAGAAAAAAAACACAAAAACCCACACAGACCUUCACUUACUCCUGCUGUCUUCCAAGCUAGAAUUUGCCUGGUGUGAUUUUAAACCAGACUUUAUUUGUUUUUUUUUCCUUACACCUGGGAGAAAAGUAGUUACAUCAGGCAUGCAAAGUGCCAAAAUUAGCUGGUUUGCCUAAAUGCAACACAUCAACCCAGCUGCAGCACUUCCUGAGGUACAGACUACACAGUCAGCAAGUGACACAAAAUCCUCAGUGCUUAGUUCAAGAGAAAAAGGGAGGGGAAAGAACUGUUUUACACCUCUGAGAGCACAGGAGGGGCAGAAAGGCAGGCCUGUCAUACACUAAAAGGCUCACACAGCACCACCAUCACCUUUAUAAAGGAGAUCUCCCUCUCCCUUUGUCCAAAGACCCUUUCCAAAGCUGUGGAAAGUAAUUCUGAACCACACAGAGGUCAUCAUGCAAGAGGCACCAGAGCUGGGGCCAGCUGCCAGCUCAAACAGAGAUUUCAGUCCUUGCUGCCAAAGCACAAAGAGCAACAGGCAAAGCUGCCCUGGACCCAUGAAUUUAAUGUCAACACUAAAGCAGACUAAGAGGUUGGAAUACAGAAGUGACCUUCAGGUCUCUCUGUCCACUCCAUUUCUUCUGCAAACACCAGAGGAGUGACACAACUGUCCCAAUGAAGUCAUCAGUCUGGCAGAGGCAGAGCAGGCCCCAGCACUGUGCCCUUUCUGUGCCCUUUCUGUGGUGACAGAGCAGCCCACAGCCACCUCACCCGAGACCUGUCCAAGCCACUGCAGAGCAUGGCAGCACAGCACAUAAAUCUGUCCCUUCCUUUUCAGAGAUCUGCAAGGGUUAUCCUCACCUCAGGGAAACUCUAACAACCUUUCUGCCUUCUCCAAAUCCUGGUUUUUGGGUUUUUUUUUUAAUUUGUGUGCAGAGCUCAGUCCCAGUUGCUGGUGACAGCCUGCACUGCUCAGCCCCAGCUGGAGCUCCCUGACCAGCACAA